AUUGAACGCUGGCGGCAUGCUUUACACAUGCAAGUCGAACGGCAGCGGGGUAGUGCUUGCACUGCUGCCGGCGAGUGGCGAACGGGUGAGUAAUAUAUCGGAACGUACCGAGUAAUGGGGGACAACCAAUCGAAAGAUUGGCUAAUACCGCAUACGUCCUGAGGGAGAAAGCGGGGGAUCGCAAGACCUCGCGUUAUUCGAGCGGCCGAUAACUGAUUAGCUAGUUGGUGGGGUAAAGGCCUACCAAGGCGACGAUCAGUAGCGGGUCUGAGAGGACGAUCCGCCACACUGGGACUGAGACACGGCCCAGACUCCUACGGGAGGCAGCAGUGGGGAAUUUUGGACAAUGGGGGCAACCCUGAUCCAGCCAUGCCGCGUGUAUGAAGAAGGCCUUCGGGUUGUAAAGUACUUUUGUUAGGGAAGAAAAGGGAAGUGCUAAUACCACUUUUUGCUGACGGUACCUAAAGAAUAAGCACCGGCUAACUACGUGCCAGCAGCCGCGGUAAUACGUAGGGUGCGAGCGUUAAUCGGAAUUACUGGGCGUAAAGCGAGCGCAGACGGUUAUUUAAGCAGGAUGUGAAAUCCCCGGGCUUAACCUGGGAACUGCGUUCUGAACUGGAUAGCUAGAGUGUGUCAGAGGGGGGUAGAAUUCCACGUGUAGCAGUGAAAUGCGUAGAGAUGUGGAGGAAUACCGAUGGCGAAGGCAGCCCCCUGGGAUAACACUGACGUUCAUGCUCGAAAGCGUGGGUAGCAAACAGG
rnacentral:rRNA from 1 species